UCAGAACAGGAAAGCGAUAUGCAUCACAGGAAGAAAACUUGCUUCUUUUUCAAGUACUAAACGACACACAACACUCGAAACUAACAGCAGACGCACACAAACCACAGACAACAAGAUAGAAGCAAGAGAGAGAGAGAGAGAGAGAGGGAGAGGUCUGUUCUCUCUCUCAGCCAUGGUGACGAGAACAACAUCCUCCGAGGGAAGAGGGUUGAGACAGUAAGCCAUGGCCUUUUAUUUCCAUCACCAAGUCCAAACACAAGUCACUAACCCCACAACACCACCACCGAUGCUGCUCCUCUCCCUCUUCAAACUCUGAUCAUCUCCCUCAUUUGCAGUUGCAGGGAUCGCAGGUGCAGUUGGAUCCGCACUUGCAGCCAUUCUCGGACCCUUCAGCUGCCAU
rnacentral:lncRNA from 1 species